UGGUGGACCACAUACGACUGGCUGCGCCCUAGCCCACCCAAAUCCGAGGACAACAAAUCAAUGAAUACCAGCCAUUGAGAUAUGGAUGUGGGUACGGUGUGCCACUCCAGACUUCCACUCCCCGAACCACGGCGCCCUCGCAUCGACCGUUUCAUAAAUUCCACGUGGCACCUUCUAGUGCGUUCCCAGGCUCCACGUUUCCAACAACCUG
rnacentral:lncRNA from 1 species